GAUGAGAACGUAGCGAAAUGCGAUAAGUAAUGUGAAUUGCAGAAUUCAGUGAAUCAUCGAAUCUUUGAACGCACAUUGCGCCCGCCAGUAUUCUGGCGGGCAUGCCUGUCUGAGCGUCAUUUCAACCCUCAGCCCCCGCUCGCGGGGCGCUGGCGUUGGGGAUCGGCCGUCCUCGCGGCGGCCGGCCCCGAAACACAGUGGCAGUCUCUCGCGGACUCCCCUGCGUAGUAGCACUACCUCGCAGAAGGGACGAGCGGGCUGACCACGCCGUAAAACCCCCCACUUCUCCAGGUUGACCUCAGAUCAGGUAGGAAUACCCGCUGAACUUAAGCAUAUCAAUAAGCGGAGGA
rnacentral:misc_RNA from 1 species